UUAAUAAAAUUCAUUCCGUCUAAUUAUUUCACACGUUUUCCCUCUCUUUUGCUUUGCUUUCCCUCUCUUUCGAUUAUACUUUUUCCUCCAACAUUUUUGUGAACAAGAAUAUAUAUACUCUGGGUAGGUUCUUUUCACAACAUCUGACUAUCCAUUUUCUCUUCUUCACAGCAUGAUUUUUUUUGUCAAAGAUUUUUAAACUUCAGAUUGUUAAAUUGAUGGACUUUACAAACAGAUCAAAUGAUUGUCGCUCAUCACCACCGGCUAUUGUUGCUGACCAGAAUCACCAAUCUCAGGUGCACUUAAGGAUGAAUUACAGUGAACAAGUACCUUCUUUUCCAAAUAUGCUUGGUGCAUAAUGUUUUGUAUAUGAUGAAUUUGCCAGACCAAAUUUAAGUACUCAUCUCACACAAAGUCACGAAGAAGAAAAUGCUGAAGUAAUAUCAAUCUCAUCUCAAGACUUUAGCUCACAAAAGGUGAAGGAGAAAAGACAACGAACCAGAAACUUUAGUAAGCAAGAGGAUGAGCUACUAAUCUCAGCAUGGCAAAAUGUAUCAUUUGAUCCUAUCACAGGGGUUGAUCAAAAAAAUGAAACUUACUGGCAAAGAGUGCACAUCUACUUUAUGAAACAUAAAGACUUUCAAUCUGAUCGUACCAGCUGUUCAUUGAUGCAUCGUUGGUCCGUGAUACAACUUGCCGUCAAUAAAUUUCAAGGAUAUUAUAACCAAGUAGAAGGAAAAAGUGGGUGCUCUGAAGCUGAUAAGAUAAUUUUUUUCCUGGUAAUUUGUAUUUAAUAGACUACUCACAUGAAUGAUACAAGAGUUGUGGAUUUUUUAACAGAUUAAUAAUGCGAAGGAUAUGUAUAAAAAUCUUUGCAAACACAACUUUUCUCUUGAGCACUGCUGGAAUCUACUGAGAUAUUUGCCUAAAUGGAAUAUUGAGUUUGGUACAAAGAAAGCAAAAAUUUUCCAAAAGGACAGUCCAAAAAUUUCUUCUCCCUCAACUCCGGAUUGUGAAAUGUUAGGAAACUCAGCCUUUGAAAGGCCAAUUGGGAGGAAAGC